rnacentral:rRNA from 1 species
UACGAAGGGGACUAGCGUUGUUCGGAAUUACUGGGCGUAAAGCGCACGUAGGCGGAUUUGUAAGUCAGGGGUGAAAUCCCGGGGCUCAACCUCGGAACUGCCUUUGAUACUGCAAAUCUCGAGUCCGAUAGAGGGUGGGUGGAAUUCCUAGUGUAGAGGUGAAAAUUCGUAGAUAUUAGGAAGAACACCGGUGGCGAAGGCGGCCCACUGGAUCGGUACUGACGCUGAGGUGCGAAAGCGUGGGGAGCAAACAGG